CGGGGGGGGUGGUGAGCAGACCUCGAGCAGCUGCCGCAGCCGCCACAGCCGUUGCAACCGCAGCAGUUGAGUUCACAGGGCCCGGAGGUGGGAGAUUUCCCAUACGGUGGCUGAGAUGUCGUCCACCGCGGCUUUUUACCUUCUCUCCACCCUGGGAGGGUACUUGGUGACCUCAUUCUUGUUGCUCAAAUACCCGACCUUGCUGCACCGGAGAAAGAAGCAGCGAUUCCUCAGCAAACACAUCUCCCACCACAGAGGUGCUGGAAAAAAUUUGGAGAAUACAAUGGCAGCCUUUCAGCAUGCAGUUACAAUUGCAACUGAUAUGCUGGAAUUGGACUGCCAUAUCACAAAAGAUGAGCAAGUUGUAGCGUCCCAUGAUGAGAAUUUAAAGAGAUCAACUGGGGUCAAUGUAAACAUCUCUGAUCUCAAGUACUGUGAACUCCCACCUUACCUUGGCAAACUGGAUGUCACAUUUCAAAGAGCAUGCCAAUGUGAAGGAAAAGAUAACCGAAUGCCAUUACUAAAGGAAGUUUUUGGGGCUUUUCCUAACACUCCCAUUAACAUCGAUAUCAAGGUCAACAACAAUGUGCUGAUAAAGAAGGUUUCAGAGCUGGUAAAGCAGUACAGACGAGGACACAUAAUGGUGUGGGGUAACGCCAGUUAUGAAAUUGUAGAAAAGUGCUACAGAGAGAAUUCAGAUAUUCCUAUACUCUUCAGUCUACAACGUGUUCUGCUCAUUCUUGGCCUUUUCUUCACUGGCCUCUUGCCCUUUGUGCCCAUUCGAGAACAGUUUUUUGAAAUUCCAAUGCCUUCUAUCAUACUGAAGCUAAAAGAACCACAUACUAUGUCCAGAAGUCAAAAGUUUCUCAUCUGGCUUUCUGGUAUCUUACUAAUGAGAAAAGGCUUGUCUGACCACCUCACUGCCAGAGGCAUUCGGGUCUAUAUUUGGGUAUUGAAUGAAGAACAAGAAUACAAAUGAGCUUUUGAUUUGGGAGCAACUGGGGUGAUGACAGACUAUCCAACAAAGCUUAAGGAUUUUUUACAUAAUUUUUCAGCAUAG